AAAAUAGCCUAUUUCAGGGCUGGAAAAUGAUGAUUGAAUUCUCCAUAUUGGACACAGUUUCGGCAUAUUGAACCUUGGUUAAAACCGUGAAGGUAGCCACUGCGUCAGCAGGUGCUAUUACCAGACUAUUUCAAACUCUCUGUCCACUCAAAAGGCACUUCAAAACGUAACACAUUACAGUACCAAGCACAAGUCCCGAUUCUGGUGGGACAGUCACGGUUUUUAAAUAUUGC